rnacentral:rRNA from 1 species
ACGACCGGCGCACGGGUGAGUAACGCGUAUGCAACUUGCCUCACACACUUGGAUAGCCCGUUGAAAGACGGAUUAAUACGAGAUAUAAUUACUGGAUUGCAUGAUUUAGUAAUGAAAGAUUAUUGGUGUGAGAUAGGCAUGCGUUCCAUUAGCUAGUUGGUAAGGUAACGGCUUACCAAGGCAACGAUGGAUAGGGGAACUGAGAGGUUUAUCCCCCACACUGGAACUGAGACACGGACCAG